UUAAGCGACUAAGCGUACACGGUGGAUGCCCUGGCAGUCAGAGGCGAUGAAGGACGUGCUAAUCUGCGAUAAGCGCCGGUAAGGUGAUAUGAACCGUUAUAACCGGCGAUUUCCGAAUGGGGAAACCCAGUGUGAUUCGUCACACUAUCAUUAACUGAAUCCAUAGGUUAAUGAGGCGAACCGGGGGAACUGAAACAUCUAAGUACCCCGAGGAAAAGAAAUCAACCGAGAUUCCCCCAGUAGCGGCGAGCGAACGGGGAGGAGCCCAGAGCCUGAAUCAGCAUGUGUGUUAGUGGAAGCGUCUGGAAAGGCGCGCGAUACAGGGUGACAGCCCCGUACACAAAAGCGCAUGUGCUGUGAGCUCGAUGAGUAGGGCGGGACACGUGGUAUCCUGUCUGAAUAUGGGGGGACCAUCCUCCAAGGCUAAAUACUCCUGACUGACCGAUAGUGAACCAGUACCGUGAGGGAAAGGCGAAAAGAACCCCGGCGAGGGGAGUGAAAAAGAACCUGAAACCGUGUACGUACAAGCAGUGGGAGCACAGGUUUACCUGUGUGACUGCGUACCUUUUGUAUAAUGGGUCAGCGACUUAUAUUCUGUAGCAAGGUUAACCGUAUAGGGGAGCCGUAGGGAAACCGAGUCUUAACCGGGCGUUAAGUUGCAGGGUAUAGACCCGAAACCCGGUGAUCUAGCCAUGGGCAGGUUGAAGGUUGGGUAACACUAACUGGAGGACCGAACCGACUAAUGUUGAAAAAUUAGCGGAUGACCUGUGGCUGGGGGUGAAAGGCCAAUCAAACCGGGAGAUAGCUGGUUCUCCCCGAAAGCUAUUUAGGUAGCGCCUCGUGAAUUCAUCUCCGGGGGUAGAGCACUGUUUCGGCUAGGGGGCCAUCCCGGCUUACCAACCCGAUGCAAACUGCGAAUACCGGAGAAUGUUAUCACGGGAGACACACGGCGGGUGCUAACGUCCGUCGUGAAGAGGGAAACAACCCAGACCGCCAGCUAAGGUCCCAAAGUCAUGGUUAAGUGGGAAACGAUGUGGGAAGGCCCAGACAGCCAGGAUGUUGGCUUAGAAGCAGCCAUCAUUUAAAGAAAGCGUAAUAGCUCACUGGUCGAGUCGGCCUGCGCGGAAGAUGUAACGGGGCUAAACCAUGCACCGAAGCUGCGGCAGCGAACGUAUCACUUAAAGCGAUUCAGCGGGUUACGAUUGACGGAGCGAAGCGACGUCAAAGCGUAUACAAAGUCGAGUCGGUUUAAGGAUACGUUCGUUGGGUAGGGGAGCGUUCUGUAAGCCCGUGAAGGUGGCCUGUGAGGGUUGCUGGAGGUAUCAGAAGUGCGAAUGCUGACAUAAGUAACGAUAAAGCGGGUGAAAAGCCCGCUCGCCGGAAGACCAAGGGUUCCUGUCCAACGUUAAUCGGGGCAGGGUGAGUCGACCCCUAAGGCGAGGCCGAAAGGCGUAGUCGAUGGGAAACGGGUUAAUAUUCCCGUACUUGGUGUUACUGCGAAGGGGGGACGGAGAAGGCUAUGUUGGCCGGGCGACGGUUGUCCCGGUUUAAGCGUGUAGGUGUGUGUUCCAGGUAAAUCCGGUUCACUUUAACACUGAGGCGUGACGACGAGGCACUACGGUGCUGAAGCAACAAAUGCCCUGCUUCCAGGAAAAGCCUCUAAGCAUCAGGUAACAUCAAAUCGUACCCCAAACCGACACAGGUGGUCAGGUAGAGAAUACCAAGGCGCUUGAGAGAACUCGGGUGAAGGAACUAGGCAAAAUGGUGCCGUAACUUCGGGAGAAGGCACGCUGACACGUAGGUGAAGUGAUUUACUCAUGGAGCUGAAGUCAGUCGAAGAUACCAGCUGGCUGCAACUGUUUAUUAAAAACACAGCACUGUGCAAACACGAAAGUGGACGUAUACGGUGUGACGCCUGCCCGGUGCCGGAAGGUUAAUUGAUGGGGUCAGCGUAAGCGAAGCUCCUGAUCGAAGCCCCGGUAAACGGCGGCCGUAACUAUAACGGUCCUAAGGUAGCGAAAUUCCUUGUCGGGUAAGUUCCGACCUGCACGAAUGGCGUAAUGAUGGCCAGGCUGUCUCCACCCGAGACUCAGUGAAAUUGAACUCGCUGUGAAGAUGCAGUGUACCCGCGGCAAGACGGAAAGACCCCGUGAACCUUUACUAUAGCUUGACACUGAACAUUGAGCCUUGAUGUGUAGGAUAGGUGGGAGGCUUUGAAGUGUGGACGCCAGUCUGCAUGGAGCCGACCUUGAAAUACCACCCUUUAAUGUUUGAUGUUCUAACGUGGACCCGUAAUCCGGGUUGCGGACAGUGUCUGGUGGGUAGUUUGACUGGGGCGGUCUCCUCCUAAAGAGUAACGGAGGAGCACGAAGGUUGGCUAAUCCUGGUCGGACAUCAGGAGGUUAGUGCAAUGGCAUAAGCCAGCUUGACUGCGAGCGUGACGGCGCGAGCAGGUGCGAAAGCAGGUCAUAGUGAUCCGGUGGUUCUGAAUGGAAGGGCCAUCGCUCAACGGAUAAAAGGUACUCCGGGGAUAACAGGCUGAUACCGCCCAAGAGUUCAUAUCGACGGCGGUGUUUGGCACCUCGAUGUCGGCUCAUCACAUCCUGGGGCUGAAGUAGGUCCCAAGGGUAUGGCUGUUCGCCAUUUAAAGUGGUACGCGAGCUGGGUUUAGAACGUCGUGAGACAGUUCGGUCCCUAUCUGCCGUGGGCGCUGGAGAACUGAGGGGGGCUGCUCCUAGUACGAGAGGACCGGAGUGGACGCAUCACUGGUGUUCGGGUUGUCAUGCCAAUGGCACUGCCCGGUAGCUAAAUGCGGAAGAGAUAAGUGCUGAAAGCAUCUAAGCACGAAACUUGCCCCGAGAUGAGUUCUCCCUGAGACUUAGAGUCUCCUGAAGGAACGUUGAAGACGACGACGUUGAUAGGCCGGGUGUGUAAGCGCAGCGAUGCGUUGAGCUAACCGGUACUAAUGAACCGUGAGGCUUAACCUU
rnacentral:rRNA from 1 species